CCCAGACUCCUACGGGAGGCAGCAGUGGGGGAUAUUGCACAAUGGGGGGAACCCUGAUGCAGCGACGCCGCGUGGGUGAAGAAGCGUUUCGGCGCGUAAAGCCCUAUCGGCAGGGAAGAAGGAGGACGGUACCUGACUAAGAAGCCCCGGCUAACUACGUGCCAGCAGCCGCGGUAAUACGUAGGGGGCAAGCGUUAUCCGGAUUUACUGGGUGUAAAGGGGGCGCAGACGGCAGCGCAAGCCAGGAGUGAAAGCCCGGGGCCCAACCCCGGGACUGCUCUUGGAACUGCGCGGCUGGAGUGCAGGAGGGGCAGGCGGAAUUCCUGGUGUAGCGGUGAAAUGCGUAGAUAUCAGGAGGAACACCGGUGGCGAAGGCGGCCUGCUGGACUGCAACUGACGUUGAGGCCCGAAAGCGUGGGGAGCAAACAGGAUUAGAUACCCUAGUA
rnacentral:rRNA from 1 species